UACUUUUUAAGUUUGCAAAGUUUGAUCUGAACUACACUGUAAGCUCAGUGCAGAAACCAUUGCUCUGUCAGUCACAUUUGUAUCAGAGGUUCCAUAGAGACCCCACAUGGCAGUUAGCAGCUAGGUCCUCUCUAGAACCAAGGGGGUGGAGGUAUGUCUGUUUAGAAGGUGGGCUAUAGAAUAUAAUAUACAUGGAAAUCCUGAGAUUGAAUAAAGUCAUAAUCUGAGUCUUGGAGUGCCACAUGACCUUGGGCAAGUCAUCUUAACAUCCCUGAUUUCAGUUCCCAUCUCUAAACCAGGAUUCUCAAUCUAUUCAGAACUAAUUUAAUGAUUCAGUAGUGUUUGUCACCUACUGAGGGUGGGAAUAUAUUUAAGGUGUCUCCUAUUAUAGACACCAGCUACAUACAGAUAUCAAACAUUUCAAAUGUCUCUGGUUUGUCAAAGGAGCUGAAAUUUUAACUUUUAAUUAUAUUUCCUUUUAAUUAAUUUUCCAUCUCAAUUUCAGCAUCCAAUUAAGACAGUACAAGUCUAGUCUAAUGUCCUGUUUUACAGAUUAGACAACCAUGGUUUAAGAAACAAAGAUGUCUGUCAAGGCCCCAUGGCUGCUCUCCAGAAACAAAAUAACCAGUUGAGAUGCAUAUAUUUUCACUUGCACAUGUUUGCAUUGCCAAGGCAUAAACCAUUCCUUCCUUAAAGGUUUGUUUCAAAGUUAUUAGCUAAUUCUUAAGGCGGGCAAACCUGGGGAUCUGCAAGCAUAUGCUUUGCAUUGAAACAGCAGCUUGGUAAUCAAACGAGAGCAAUCUAAUAUGAGCUUUCAAGGGAGGUGAAUUUGACUG
rnacentral:lncRNA from 1 species